GCCCGGGUGGUGAAACUGGUAGACACACCAUCUUGAGGGGGUGGCGCCUGUAAGGGUGUACGAGUUCGAAUCUCGUCCCGGGCA
rnacentral:tRNA from 2 species